rnacentral:rRNA from 1 species
CUGCAGCCGCGGGAAUACGGAGGGUGCAAGCGUUAAUCGGAAUUACUGGGCGUAAAGCGCACGCAGGCGGUCUGACAAGUCAGAUGUGAAAUCCCCGGGCUUAACCUGGGAACUGCAUUUGAAACUGUCAGGCUGGAGUCUUGUAGAGGGGGGUGGAAUUCCAGGUGUAGCGGUGAAAUGCGUAGAGAUCUGGAGGAAUACCGGUGGCGAAGGCGGCCCCCUGGACAAAGACUGACGCUCAGGUGCGAAAGCGUGGGGAGCAAACAGGAUUAGAGACCCGUGUAGUCCCUGUCUCUUAUAC